GAUGAACGCUGGCGGCGUGCCUAAUACAUGCAAGUCGAGCGAACGGACGAGAAGCUUGCUUCUCUGAUGUUAGCGGCGGACGGGUGAGUAACACGUGGAUAACCUACCUAUAAGACUGGGAUAACUUCGGGAAACCGGAGCUAAUACCGGAUAAUAUUUUGAACCGCAUGGUUCAAAAGUGAAAGACGGUCUUGCUGUCACUUAUAGAUGGAUCCGCGCUGCAUUAGCUAGUUGGUAAGGUAACGGCUUACCAAGGCAACGAUGCAUAGCCGACCUGAGAGGGGGAUCGGCCACACUGGAACUGGGACACGGUCCAGACUCCCACGGGAGGCAGCAGGAGGGAAUUUUCCGGAAUGGGCGAAAGCCUGACGGAGCAACGCCGGGGGAGUGAUGAAGGGUUUUGGAUCGGAAAACCCCUUUUUUAGGGAAGAACAUUUGGGUAAGGAACUGGGCAAAUCUUGACGGGACCUAAACAGAAAGCCCCGGCUAACUACGG
rnacentral:rRNA from 1 species